CAGAAAGUAGUUUAGUCUAAAACUUCAGCUUUGGGAGCUGGUGAUAAAGGUUUGAUUCCUUUCUUUCUGA
rnacentral:tRNA from 1 species